UGGGGAAUUUUGGACAAUGGGCGCAAGCCUGAUCCAGCCAUGCCGCGUGAGUGAAGAAGGCCUUCGGGUUGUAAAGCUCUUUCGGACGGGAAGAAAUGGCGGGCUCUAACAUAGCCUGUCGAUGACGGUACCGUAAGAAGAAGCACCGGCUAACUACGUGCCAGCAGCCGCGGUAAUACGUAGGGUGCGAGCGUUGUCCGGAAUUAUUGGGCGUAAAGAGCUCGUAGGCGGUUUGUCGCGUCUGCUGUGAAAACCCGAGGCUCAACCUCGGGCCUGCAGUGGGGACGGGCAAACUAGAGUGCGGUAGGGGGGAUUGGAAUUCCUGGUGUAUCGGUGGAAUGCGCAGAUAUCAGGAGGAACACCGAUGGCGAAGGCAGAUCUCUGGGCCGUAACUGACGCUGAGGAGCGAAAGCAUGGGGAGCGAACA
rnacentral:rRNA from 1 species